rnacentral:rRNA from 1 species
UUAAGUUAUUAAGGGCGCACGGUGGAUGCCUUGGCACUAGAAGCCGAUGAAGGACGUUACUAACGACGAUAUGCUUUGGGGAGCUGUAAGUAAGCUUUGAUCCAGAGAUUUCCGAAUGGGGAAACCCAGCAUGAGUUAUGUCAUGUUAUCGAUAUGUGAAUACAUAGCAUAUCAGAAGGCACACCCGGAGAACUGAAACAUCUUAGUACCCGGAGGAAGAGAAAGAAAAUUCGAUUCCCUUAGUAGCGGCGAGCGAAACGGGAAGAGCCCAAACCAACAAGCUUGCUUGUUGGGGUUGUAGGACACUCUAUACGGAGUUACAAAGGACGACAUUAGACGAAUCAUCUGGAAAGAUGAAUCAAAGAAGGUAAUAAUCCUGUAGUCGAAAAUGUUGUCUCUCUUGAGUGGAUCCUGAGUACGACGGAGCACGUGAAAUUCCGUCGGAAUCUGGGAGGACCAUCUCCUAAGGCUAAAUACUCUCUAGUGACCGAUAGUGAACCAGUACCGUGAGGGAAAGGUGAAAAGCACCCCGGAAGGGGAGUGAAAUAGAACCUGAAACCGUGUGCUUACAAGUAGUCAGAGCCCGUUAAUGGGUGAUGGCGUGCCUUUUGUAGAAUGAACCGGCGAGUUACGAUUUGAUGCAAGGUUAAGCAGUAAAUGUGGAGCCGUAGCGAAAGCGAGUCUGAAUAGGGCGUUUAGUAUUUGGUCGUAGACCCGAAACCAGGUGAUCUACCCUUGGUCAGGUUGAAGUUCAGGUAACACUGAAUGGAGGACCGAACCGACUUACGUUGAAAAGUGAGCGGAUGAACUGAGGGUAGCGGAGAAAUUCCAAUCGAACCUGGAGAUAGCUGGUUCUCUCCGAAAUAGCUUUAGGGCUAGCCUCAAGUGAUGAUUAUUGGAGGUAGAGCACUGUUUGGACGAGGGGCCCCUCUCGGGUUACCGAAUUCAGACAAACUCCGAAUGCCAAUUAAUUUAACUUGGGAGUCAGAACAUGGGUGAUAAGGUCCGUGUUCGAAAGGGAAACAGCCCAGACCACCAGCUAAGGUCCCAAAAUAUAUGUUAAGUGGAAAAGGAUGUGGCGUUGCCCAGACAACUAGGAUGUUGGCUUAGAAGCAGCCAUCAUUUAAAGAGUGCGUAAUAGCUCACUAGUCGAGUGACACUGCGCCGAAAAUGUACCGGGGCUAAACAUAUUACCGAAGCUGUGGAUUGUCCUUUGGACAAUGGUAGGAGAGCGUUCUAAGGGCGUUGAAGCAUGAUCGUAAGAACAUGUGGAGCGCUUAGAAGUGAGAAUGCCGGUGUGAGUAGCGAAAGACGGGUGAGAAUCCCGUCCACCGAUUGACUAAGGUUUCCAGAGGAAGGCUCGUCCGCUCUGGGUUAGUCGGGUCCUAAGCUGAGGCCGACAGGCGUAGGCGAUGGAUAACAGGUUGAUAUUCCUGUACCACCUAUAAUCGUUUUAAUCGAUGGGGGGACGCAGUAGGAUAGGCGAAGCGUGCGAUUGGAUUGCACGUCUAAGCAGUAAGGCUGAGUAUUAGGCAAAUCCGGUACUCGUUAAGGCUGAGCUGUGAUGGGGAGAAGACAUUGUGUCUUCGAGUCGUUGAUUUCACACUGCCGAGAAAAGCCUCUAGAUAGAAAAUAGGUGCCCGUACCGCAAACCGACACAGGUAGUCAAGAUGAGAAUUCUAAGGUGAGCGAGCGAACUCUCGUUAAGGAACUCGGCAAAAUGACCCCGUAACUUCGGGAGAAGGGGUGCUCUUUAGGGUUAACGCCCAGAAGAGCCGCAGUGAAUAGGCCCAAGCGACUGUUUAUCAAAAACACAGGUCUCUGCUAAACCGUAAGGUGAUGUAUAGGGGCUGACGCCUGCCCGGUGCUGGAAGGUUAAGAGGAGUGGUUAGCUUCUGCGAAGCUACGAAUCGAAGCCCCAGUAAACGGCGGCCGUAACUAUAACGGUCCUAAGGUAGCGAAAUUCCUUGUCGGGUAAGUUCCGACCCGCACGAAAGGCGUAACGAUUUGGGCACUGUCUCAACGAGAGACUCGGUGAAAUCAUAGUACCUGUGAAGAUGCAGGUUACCCGCGACAGGACGGAAAGACCCCGUGGAGCUUUACUGUAGCCUGAUAUUGAAAUUCGGCACAGCUUGUACAGGAUAGGUAGGAGCCUUUGAAACGUGAGCGCUAGCUUACGUGGAGGCGCUGGUGGGAUACUACCCUAGCUGUGUUGGCUUUCUAACCCGCACCACUUAUCGUGGUGGGAGACAGUGUCAGGCGGGCAGUUUGACUGGGGCGGUCGCCUCCUAAAAGGUAACGGAGGCGCUCAAAGGUUCCCUCAGAAUGGUUGGAAAUCAUUCAUAGAGUGUAAAGGCAUAAGGGAGCUUGACUGCGAGACCUACAAGUCGAGCAGGGUCGAAAGACGGACUUAGUGAUCCGGUGGUUCCGCAUGGAAGGGCCAUCGCUCAACGGAUAAAAGCUACCCCGGGGAUAACAGGCUUAUCUCCCCCAAGAGUUCACAUCGACGGGGAGGUUUGGCACCUCGAUGUCGGCUCAUCGCAUCCUGGGGCUGUAGUCGGUCCCAAGGGUUGGGCUGUUCGCCCAUUAAAGCGGUACGCGAGCUGGGUUCAGAACGUCGUGAGACAGUUCGGUCCCUAUCCGUCGUGGGCGUAGGAAAUUUGAGAGGAGCUGUCCUUAGUACGAGAGGACCGGGAUGGACAUACCUCUGGUGUACCAGUUGUCGUGCCAACGGCAUAGCUGGGUAGCUAUGUGUGGACGGGAUAAGUGCUGAAAGCAUCUAAGCAUGAAGCCCCCCUCAAGAUGAGAUUUCCCAACUUCGGUUAUAAGAUCCCUCAAAGAUGAUGAGGUUAAUAGGUUCGAGGUGGAAGCAUGGUGACAUGUGGAGCUGACGAAUACUAAUCGAUCGAAGACUUAAUCAA